UAAACUCUCUCGUAAACAGCAGAAACAGCAGCAGCUGAGUCGCGCACAUCAUCGUCGAGCAGCACCUCACCGCACACGCGCAACACAUACAUCCAGACAUAGCCCCUUCGCCGGCCUUACCGCCUGCACCACUACGUCACGCAGCACCCCGAAGGUGGCGCCCCCCUCCCUCCCCCCAAUCACUCACGAGCCCACACACGAGUAACCAUGCAGCGCGUACGCCUCGCAGCACCAGCCGCAGCAGCCGCAUCGGUGUCCUCCUCGCCUUCUUCUUCGGCAGCGGCCCUUUGGGCACCGUCGCGCGGCUUCCGCAAGGAGCUGUUCGAGGGACCCCUCGACCUGAAACCAGGUGAGCGCAACGCCCGCAAGGGUCCGCCGGUCGCCCACAGCCUCCCGGUCUACAAGACGACACACAAGCUACACAACUCCGUCCGCUGGAAGAACGCCAACCUCGUGACGAACGUUGCCGGUGGCCAGGACUACCGCCUGCGCGAGACUCAAGGCGAGGGCACCUUCGAUGAGACGGGUAUGUACCGUGACUGGCUUUACGGAGAUGAACGGCGCUACGCCAACUACAUCGGCCUGACCCUUGGUGCACUCGCCAUCACGCUUUUCUGGUACACGAUGCGCGUGAUCGGUGCAGAGACGUGGGAUAUCCCGACCCCGGUGCUGGCCUCGCAGCGCAAGCGACUCGCCAAGGGUGACGUGGAAGGCAGCGGCGGCGAUGCCGCGGUAGAAGUGUUGGCGCUGCCGACGGAGAAGGAGAUCCGCCAAGAUGCGCUGGCGAUGUUGAAGCGGCCGACAACGUUGUCCAAGAGCAGCUAAGCAGGCGUCAGGGGAGGGGCGGGCGAUAGGUGUGGCCACCGACGAGGGGCUGACAGAGGACAAGGCGAAGGUCAAGGCGAUAUCGCCGCGUCCGGGCGCGUGUGCGUGUCUUGACAGCGAAGGCUCCUCCGCCCCCUCCCUUUUCGAGCCGCUCACAAGGCCAAUUUAACGCAGAGAAGUAUUGAGAAGAGGAAUGCGUCCGUCGGUGCUGGGGAAGGUGGGGGCGGUGCGGUAGUAUGUGCGGCAUCGCGCACCUCCACGAGGCAUGCGCGCCGUCUUUCCUGCGCGGCUGUUUGCGCGUUACAAGGGAAAGUACGCACCGGUCUUCGAUCACGCCGACAAGGACGUUAAUGGCCCGAGAUGCACUGGAGGGGUGACGUAGCAAUGAGUGAUAUAUGUGUGAGUGUGUGUGUGUGCACCGUUGUCUCGCUCGUCACGAUCGCCGCUGCAAUCCGCAACGCCAGUUCGUCACCCUUCCCCCUCCCUCUCGUCCUUCUCGUCCCUCUUUUUGUAUUGCGCCGUACUCGUUCUUUAGCAACCCCCCCUCUCCCCCACCGAUACGCGCGGAUGGGGGCGUGCAUCACG
rnacentral:misc_RNA from 1 species